AGGGAAUCUUCGGCAAUGGACGAAAGUCUGACCGAGCAACGCCGCGCGAGUGAUGAAGGUUUUCGGAUCGUAAAACUCUGUUGUCAGGGAAGAACAAGUACGAGAGUAACUGCUCGUACCUUGACGGUACCUGACCAGAAAGCCACGGCUAACUACGUGCCAGCAGCCGCGGUAAUACGUAGGUGGCAAGCGUUGUCCGGAAUUAUUGGGCGUAAAGCGCGCGCAGGCGGUUCUUUAAGUCUGAUGUGAAAGCCCACGGCUCAACCGUGGAGGGUCAUUGGAAACUGGGGAACUUGAGUGCAGGAGAGAAAAGUGGAAUUCCACGUGUAGCGGUGAAAUGCGUAGAGAUGUGGAGGAACACCAGUGGCGAAGGCGGCUUUUUGGCCUGUAACUGACGCUGAGGCGCGAAAGCGUGGGGAGCAAAC
rnacentral:rRNA from 1 species